rnacentral:rRNA from 1 species
CAAGUCGAACGAAUCCCAGGGGCUGUAGCAAUACAAUCUCUGGGGAAAGUGGCGAAAGGGGCAGUAAGGCAUGGGUAACCUACCCUGGGGACCGGGAUAGCCCUUCUAACGAAGGGGUAAUACCGGGCGAUGUGGCCGAUACGCAUGUUUUGGCCAUGAGAUGAAUUUCGCCUCGGGAGGGGCUCAUGUAGUAUUAGCUAGUUGGUAGGGUGACGGCCUACCAAGGCAAAGAUGCUUAGCGGGUGUGAGAGCACGACCCGCGCCACUGGCACUGAGACACUGGCCAGACUCCUACGGGAGGCUGCAGUCGAGGAUCUUCGGCAAUGGGCGCAAGCCUGACCGAGCGACGCCGCGUGAGCGAUGAAGGCCUUCGGGUUGUAAAGCUCUGUCGGGGGGGAGAAAACCGCAAGGUUGAUCUAUCUCCGGAGGAAGCACGGGCUAAGUUCGUGCCAGCAGCCGCGGUAAGACGAACCGUGCGAACGUUGUUCGGAAUCACUGGGCUUAAAGGGCGCGUAGGCGGGCAGUCCAGUCCGGGGUGAAAUCUUUCGGCUCAACCGGAAAAGUGCCUUGGAUACUGACUGUCUCGAGGGAGGUAGGGGUAUGUGGAACUUCCGGUGGAGCGGUGAAAUGCGUUGAUAUCGGAAGGAACGCCGGUGGCGAAAGCGACGUACUGGACCUCUUCUGACGCUGAGGCGCGAAAGCCAGGGGAGCGAACGGGAUUAGAUACCCCGGUAGUCCUGGCCCUAAACGAUGGGUACUAGAUUGUAGACUUGAUAUGGGUUUACAGUCGAAGCAAAAGUGGUAAGUACCCCGCCUGGGGAGUAUGGUCGCAAGGCUGAAACUCAAAGGAAUUGAC